GCUCGGUAAUAGCGGAGGAUACCAAGCGUUAUCCGGAUUUAUUGGGUUUAAAGGGUCCGCAGGCGGAUUAUUAAGUCAGUGGUGAAAUCMUACAGMUUAMCUGUAGAACUGCCAUUGAUAGCUGGUAAUGCUUGAGUAUAGUUGAGGUGGGCGGAAUGUGUCAUGUAGCGGUGAAAUGCAUAGAUAUGACACAGAACACCGAUUGCGAAGGCAGCUCACUAAGCAAUUACUGACGCUCAUGGACGAAAGCGUGGGGAGCAAACAGGAUUAGAUACCCUGGUUAGUCCACGCCGUAAACGAUGAUCACUCGGCUGUUGGCAAUACACUGCUCCUCGGCCAAGCGAAAGCAUUAAKUGAUCCACCUGGGGAGUACGCCGGCAACGGUGAAACUCA
rnacentral:rRNA from 1 species